AUUGAACGCUGGCGGCAGGCCUAACACAUGCAAGUCGAACGGAGUGGCGGACGGGUGAGUAACGCGUAGGUAACUGCCUCAUAGCGGGGGAUUACUAUUGGAAACGAUAGCUAAUACCGCAUACUGUGAGAUGGACCUGCGUGGUAUUAGCUAGGUGGUGUGGUAAAGGCUCACCAAGGCGACGAUACAUAGCCGACCUGGGAGGGUGAACGGCCACACUGGGACUGAGGCACGGCCCAGACUCCUGAGGGAGGGAACAAUAGGGAAUCUUCGGAAAUGGGCGGAAGUCUGGCCGAGCAACGCCGCGGGAGGGGAGAAGGUUUUCGGGUCGUAAAUCUCUGUUGUGAGAGAAGCGGUAACUAACCAAAAAGGGACGGCUAACUACGUGCCAGCAGCCGCGGUAAUAC
rnacentral:rRNA from 1 species